AGCUCCUCUAAUUAAAAUGAAAGCCCCCCUCAUCAGAGCUCAUCUCAAUUUGGACUAGCCGCAUUUUAAGUAUGUAAGAGUCAUAUGUGGCCUUGUGGCUGCAGAAGUGGACAGAACAGCUCUUUAACGUCCAAUGCAUUCAUAGGCUGUUAAGAGGAUGUCAUUCUCCUUCUCCUUCCAGGAAAAUCAAGAUAACUGCUUUUCCUUUAUUUUAUUGGAUUCAAGCAACCAUGUGAAAAGAUAUGUAAUCACCAAGUAAAUAUUGACCAGGUAAUUACAGAGUAAAUAUUAUGUUAUGACACAAUAAGCAGCAGAUAGUUAUUUCUGCCUCCCAAACUACUAUCUUUUGGUCCUGUCCUAACAUUGGAAAUUAAAUGGUGAUUAUGUUUCUAAUAUCUUUUAAUAUGCUUUCUGAAUUGUCUACCUGAGAGUGGAGUUAUACAGUCAGUGUUUUCUAUGCUAUUACUUUAUAUUGUAACCUAAUUUUGUUCUCCAUGCAAUUUUUUAUAAUGAUAACCAAAACAAUAGUCUUUAUAAUGUUUUAUAAUUUUGAAAGGACUUUCACAUACACUCCUCUCAGUAGGCGAUAAAUAGAUUAUUCUUCCAGACUGAAAAAUCCUCAAAUCCAGAAAUAUUAUCAGAGUUGUUUAAGUUCAUGCUUUUGAACCUGCCAGAUAGGGGCUGGUACAUA
rnacentral:lncRNA from 1 species